UACGGAGGGUGCAAGCGUUAUCCGGAUUCACUGGGUUUAAAGGGUGCGUAGGUGGGCAGGUAAGUCCGUGGUGAAAUCUCUGAGCUUAACUCAGAAACUGCCGUGGAUACUACCGGUCUUGAAUAUCGUGGAGGUGAGCGGAAUAUGUCAUGUAGCGGUGAAAUGCUUAGAUAUGACAUAGAACACCAAUUGCGAAGGCAGCUCACUACCCGAAUAUUGACUCUGAGGCACGAAAGCGUGGGGAUCAAACAGG
rnacentral:rRNA from 1 species